ACUAAAAAUACACACAAAAAAUUAGCCAGGCGUGGUAAUGGGCACCUGUAGUCCCAGCUACUAGGGAGACUGAGGCAGGAGAAUGGCAUGAACCUGGAAGGUGGAGCUUGCAGUGAGCUGAGAUUGCACCACUGUACUCCAGCCUAGGCGACAGAGUGAGACUCCGUCUCAAAAAAAAAAAAAAAAAAAAAUUAAUAAUAAUAAUAAUACUUUCAGAUAUGAAAAAGAAUGAGGUUUUACAUGGAGGAGGGCAAAUUAAAGUGAGACAAAAAGAAGGCCUAAGAUAAAAUGCAAGGAACACCAACACUGAGGAGACAGGAUCACAGGAACCAGAACCCAAGAAAUGUGAAUGUUUUCUAAAGAAGGAAGUGUUCAAUAUCAAAUGCUAUUGAGAAGAUAAAGACUGAAUAGAAUCAACUGGAUUUUGUUUCAGGGGAAAAUACGUUCCGUGGAGUAGAGGGGGUGGAAAUCAUCUUGCAAAGUGUGGGAGAUAGGGAAGUAUAAAUGCAUUUUUCCAUAAUUUUGACAGUCUAAUCAAAGGCAAUGAGUUCCUUGUGCAGAUUUUUCAACUCUGCCACGUACGAAAGCUUCAGUGAUGUAUAGGUCAUAGCACAUUUCAUUUUUAACUUUGAUAUGACUUAUUCCUAUAGUAAGAAGACUGGCUUGAAGAAACAGAAUCUGCUAUAAGAAUACUAUCAAGAAAGAAUGGUCAAGUCAGGUGAAAUCGCUGCUAUUGUAUGACUUCAAUAUGGAGGAGAGAAGAUUGUAAAAUGAGAUGAAGAAAAACGUCCAGUACUACAGUGUCCAGUGAUGACCCAUUAUGAGACAAAAAUUUCACUCAUAUAAACUGUCUACAUGGCUGAAAUAAUUGUGUACCUGGACCAUCUGCGGCUGCCUCUUCCAGCACCUUCCCGUGGACCGCUCCAGGGCACUCUCUGGAAGCCAGAAGGGACUCCUGCUGAUUCUCCCACA
ensembl:lncRNA